rnacentral:rRNA from 1 species
AGAGUUUGAUCAUGGCUCAGAACGUACGCUGGCGGCACGCCUAACACAUGCAAGUCGAACGAAGUAGCAAUACUUAGUGGCAGACGGGUGAGUAACAUGUGGGUAUCUACCCUUUGGCCUGGAAUAACACGAGGAAACUUGUGCUAAUACCGGAUAAGUCUUUACGGAGAAAGCUUUAUGCACCAUUGGAUGAGCCCGCACUUGAUUAGUUUGUUGGUAGGGUAAUGGCCUACCAAGACUAUGAUCAAUAGCUGAUUUGAGAGGAUGAUCAGCCACAUUGGGACUGAGACACGGCCCAAACUCCUACGGGAGGCAGCAGUGGGGAAUCUUGCACAAUGGAGGAAACUCUGAUGCAGCGAUGCCGCGUGAGUGAAGAAGGCCUUUGGGUUGUAAAGCUCUUUCGUCGGGGAAGAAAAUGACUGUACCCGAAUAAGAAGGUCCGGCUAACUUCGUGCCAGCAGCCGCGGUAAUACGAAGGGACCUAGCGUAGUUCGGAAUUACUGGGCGUAAAGAGUAUGUAGGCGGCUAGAUAAGUUAAUUGUGAAAGCCCAAAGCUUAACUUUGGAACUGCAAUUAAAACUAUUUAGCUGGAGUAUGAUAGAGGAAAGCGGAAUACAUAGUGUAGAGGUGAAAUUCGUAGAUAUUAUGUAGAACACCAGUUGCGAAGGCGGCUUUCUGGAUCAUUACUGACGCUGAGAUACGAAAGUAUGGGUAGCGAAGAGGAUUAGAUACCCUCGUAGUCCAUACCAUAAACGAUGAUUAUUAAAUGUGGGGAAUUAUUUCUCUGUAUUAUAGCUAACGCGUUAAAUAAUCCGCCUGGGGAGUACGACCGCAAGGUUAAAACUCAAAUGAAUUGACGGGGACCCG